GAGGGGAUAGCUCAGUGGUAGAGUGCAUGCUUAGCAUGCAUAAGGUCCUGGGUUCAAUCCCCAGUACCUCCU
rnacentral:tRNA from 1 species